rnacentral:rRNA from 1 species
CACUAUGCCUAGCCCUAAACACAAAUACUCCUUUACAAUGUAUUCGCCAGGGAACAACGAGCCCCAGCUUAAAACCCAAAGGACUUGGCGGUGCUUUAGACCCCCCUAGAGGAGCCUGUUCUAGAACCGAUACCCCCCGUUCAACCUCACCCUCUCUUGUUUAACCCGCCUAUAUACCGCCGUCGUCAGCUUACCCUGUGAAGGCUAAAUAGUAAGCAAAAUUGGCACAACCCAAAACGUCAGGUCGAGGUGUAGCGCACGGGAGGGGAAGAAAUGGGCUACAUUUACUGUUACAGUAAAUACGGACUUUGCACUGAAAUAAGCAUCUGAAGGAGGAUUUAGCAGUAAGAGAGGAAUAGAGCGCCCCUCUGAAACCGGCCCUGAAGCGCGCACACACCGCCCGUCACUCUCCCCGACCACUGCAACUAAUAAAUAAUACACCUAGACUUAUUAAUAAGGGGAGGCAAGUCGUAA